rnacentral:misc_RNA from 1 species
GAUGAAGAACGCAGCGAAAUGCGAUACGUAAUGUGAAUUGCAGAAUUCAGUGAAUCAUCGAAUCUUUGAACGCAUAUUGCGCUCUUUGGUAUUCCGAAGAGCAUGCUUGUUUGAGUAUCAGUAAACACCUCAAAAGAUUUUCAUUUUUGAAAUGAUUUUGGACUUGAGCAAUCCCAACACCAGUCUUCACGGAUCGGCGGAGGGUUGCUUGAAAUGCAGGUGCAGCUGGACAUUCUCCUGAGCUAAAAGCAUAUCUAUUUAGUCCCGUCAAACGGAUUAUUACUUUUGCUGCAGCUAACAUAAAGGGAGUUUGACCAUUUUGGCUGACUGAUGCAGGAUUUCACAAGGGUCGGUAAAACGAUUUUUGUAAAACUCGAUCUCAAAUCAAGUAAGACUACCCGCUGAACUUAAGCAUAUCAAUAAGCGGAGGA